UAAUAAAUGAUAAUAAAAUCAUUUAAAUUGUUCAUGUUUCUCUUAAAUGUUUAAUAACUAUUAUAUGUAUUAAAACAUAGUAAAUAGCAUUUUGAAUUUGUCCUUAAAUGUACAUACUGAAGCACUGUAUAAUUUAUAAAAAUAAGUGCAAUUGUAUGCUUGAUGUAUAUCCCUUUUGUGUGUAUGGUACUUUCAGAAAUGUAAACAAUUGCCUUUGCUCUGCCUGUGAAUGCUCAGUCCACUGGCCUUCCUGCCUCUGAUUUGGCAUGUUUUAUUCAUUUGUGACAGUCCUGUAGCAUCAGUCAUGCCCUGCAGCCAGCAACUCCAGCCUUUAUGUGGCUCAGGACUUUCCCUGUAAUUAUUUCUCAAGUCAUUUCCAGACUACCUCAUAAAACAUUUUUAAUGGCACUGUAUGGGAACAGAUAUAAAUUAAUUCCAUUUUCAAGGGCUUUUAAAAAAUGUAGCCCUGUUUUAAGGCUGCUGUUAAUUUUGUUUUGCUACUUUUAUCGGAGGCAUAAAAUGCAUGUAUAUAUAUUUAUUAAAGAUAAGGUUUUUGAUGUUGCAAUCUGGGAAAAAAUUGCAGUGUAAAGGUAAAGCAUUUUCCUUUAUUUCCUUUUUUUAUUUUUUCCCUUUUUUGGUGGGGGUGUGUGUGUGUGGGAGAGGGUGGAGGGCGGGGGGAUAAGCAGUCACCACUCCUUUACCAGAUGCUCCAACUUUCUUGUCUGUUUUACCAGCAUCUAUUCCCUUAGCAUUAUGAUUAAUGGAACAGUUUCAGAAUUUUAAGUGUCUUGAUAACUAGCCAGUGCCUGCUCUGUGGAGGCUAUGUUGAAAAUAAAUAACAAUAAAAACAGGAUGAUCCAGGCUUCUGAAGUCUUCAGAUAAACCAUCACUGUGAUAUUGCUACCACCGUUGUGGAAAAGAGGACAGCAUUUCACAUUUCUGGCAUUGUCCAUGACAACAGAGCAGCAGAAAGGAGGCAUGGAUUUCUGGAGUAGCAUUAGGAUACAGGACUCCUGCUGAGCUCCCCAGUCGCUUGCUCUGCACAGCUGCCUUCUCAGUUGGGGGUUUGAAAUCAGCUCUGUGAGAAGAGACUGAAAUGACCAUGAUGUAUUUUCCUCACUAGGAGUAAAAGCUGCUGGCAUUCCUAACUAUUGCCACAUGUAUACUUGCAAUGUCAAUUUGUAGGAAAGUGUUGAAAGUUGAUCAUUAUGUUAAAUGAAAAUUUUAACAGUGAAGGUAAAAUCCAAUUAUUUUCUUGAAGAAACAUAUGGUGAGCAAUUUAUAUGGUAAGCAAAUAAAAUCCAAGGAAUUUCUGAUAUUAGACCAAGCUUUGUGACUGCCUUUAGGAGUAUGUUUCUUACCAUUUCUUGGUGUUCAUUUUUUCACAUAUAAAAUAAGGGAUUACAUUGUUUCUCAGGUCCAUUGUAGACAUGAAUUUCCAAGUUUAUGAGAACAAAUUGUAUUUUUAAGAAGAUUUAUUUAUUUAUUUGAAAGGCAGAAUUACAGGGAGAAAGAGAGAGAGAGGGAGGGGGGAGAGAAAGAGAGAGAGAGAAAGAUAGAGAGACAGAGAGAGAGAGAUCUUCCUUCUAUUGGUUCUCUCUCCAAAUGGCUGCAACAGCUGGACCUCAGCUGGUCUGAAGCCAGAGGCUGGGAGCUUCAUCCAGGUCCCCCAUGUAGAAGACAGGGGCCUAGGUACUUGGUCCAUCUUCUUUUGCUUUCCCAGGCCAGUAGCAGGGAGCUGGAUCAGAAGUAGAGCAGCUGGGACACAAACAGUGCCCAUUUGGUUUACCAGCAUUGCAGGUGAUGGCUUUACCUGCUAUGCCACAGCACCAGUCCCCAAAAUGUAUUUUUAAUCCAUAUAUUCAUAACACUACAUGAUAAAUGAUAUAAACGAUAUUUUAACAUUAUUUUGGGUGUGAAAAAUCCAUUGAACGUUUUCUCUUCAUGCUUAGGAUCGUGUAUGUUUAACAUUGAAACAUUAGGCUGUGAGUUAAUCUUUUGAUAUACUGCAUAUUCUUUGUUCUAAAAAUGUAAUUCAUUUGUCUAUUUUCCUGGUUAAAUGAGCAUAAAUAUAAUAUCUGUAGGCAUCUCUUUGGAGGACUUUCUCCUAACAAAACCUCUACAGCUUCAAUAAUUUUAUGAAUGUAAAAUCCAGACAAAACAUUUCCUUUAUCAUGGAUAUCUGUCUGACACACUAGAUUGCUCAGCCUUCUUGUCAUAUGACUGUGCCAUUGUAUGCAAUUACCGAAGAAGUUUUGUUGUUAGAAAGAAAAAUAUUUUUAGACUACUCUUAGGAGUCAUUAAGCACAACAAAUGAAAUGCUCCUAUAUUGUUUAAAAUAAUAUAUGCAAAUGUGAAUUAAAGGCAGAAUAUAACAUGAACAACAAUAACUUCAAGGUCUGCUAUAUUUUUUCAACUCAUCUUGCAAAAAUAGGGGGCUAUGCCUCCUGACCAAGUUCUAGAGCUCCAACCUAGACUUCUUUGGCCAUGAUAAUUUUGAUGUUUAAUUCUGAGCUGUAAUAUGGUUGACAUUAGAAACUGAGAUGUGAAAAGAAGUCGUUACUGGAAGUAGGAAAUAAGUGAAAGAUGGCCACCCAGAGAGGAUAGCAAAUGCAGAAAUUCACACAGAAAUGAAAAAACAAAAAAGAAUGAGUGGCAUGAGUGUGCGUGCAUGUGUCUGUGCACAUACUUGUGUUGUAAUUGGAGAUGGAAAAGUGAAAACGCUGCAAUAUAGAGGUUCUGUCUUUCUCAUGGAAUGGGGAAGCUAUUGCCAGAUAAUUACAAUUAUUUCUUGUUUCCCAGAAUAACAUUCAGUCCUUGAGUUGGAGAGUCUAUUGGUACUUACAAAUGAGGGAUUCUUUUUUUUUUUUUUCCCCUAAAACAACGGCACAUCUCCUUGUGGUAGCUGAGUACAAAACAAAUAGAGAUGCAUUUUCUCUACAUGCUGGAAGCACUCAUCCCUGUUACCAAGGAAACAUCCUCCCUCCUCAAGGGUCACCUUUGAAAACAACUGCAAGAUUCAACAUCAGAUCAAUAGAGAAAUGCUAAGGCCUGAACUUCCUAAUGUUGCUCUUAUUUUAAAUGUGGUUUUCAACAAACCCUGGCUAAUGUGAUUACUAACUGGUGGGAGCAGCAAGGCAAAAUUGAAUGUGGAAAGCUUCACACCCAGUAGUUUUCAAGUUCUGCUUGGGGAAGCUUGUGUUUUUUGGUGGAAAGGCUUUGAGUGUGGGAAUAUACAGGGUCAGCACCCUGGAAAGAACUGAGAUCCAGGCUUAAAGGAGAAGCUUCAUGUAAGACUUUAUCUGAGUAAGAGCCUACUCACUUAAAAAAAAGUGUAGAGUGAUUACUCCUACUUCAUCAUACUUUAUCGCAAUCAAUGUCAUUUUUAAUUUUUGAGAAUGCUUAUUGCAUAUUAAAAUUGUGCAGAUUUUGUGUCAAUGAAACACAAUUUCACCUAUCCAUUCAUUUUUUUCAAACAAAAAAAAUUUAAUCUGUAUUAUGUACCGAGUACUAAUCUAAGGAAAAAAAGGGAUAGAACACAAUGCUUAUAUUUAAGGUCUGGGAGCCCUCACUUGAAGGAGAAAGAGACGUGAAAACAGAAAAUGGAAUCUGUUGCAGAAGAAAUACAGCAAGAUGCUCCUAAUUCUUCCUGAGAGUGAGCUGAGGUUCCAUGGCAACCAGAUACUUGGACUAGAAUGGAGAUCCUGAACUGCAAAAUUUAUCCAUGAUUCCACCUGUCAGGCUGAUUGGCCCUUGGAAGGUGGGAAAUUGGACCAUCAAAGCAGGAACCAACCCUGAGAAUGGUGCAUGUUAAGCUGGAAGGAGCCAGGAUCCCUGAAGAUUUUGAGAGAAUUACCACACCAGCUCUGAUCUGGAUGCAUUGAGUUGUUAAAGGAAAGAAAUUCACACUUUUGCCUUUCUCACCAUCCCUCAGAUCUAACACUUCCAAUUUAAAAAUUGCUCAACAUAUACACAUGAACGCAUGUCAAGAGUACAAGAUUUAGGAGGGAUAAAAGUUUGGGAUGGCAAGAGCAGUACAUGGAAUGAUUCAAGAAUAUUUUGUUGUGUUGGUCCUUUGUAAUUUGCAACACCAACAGUCAAUGUUAAUAAUACAUGUAAUUCUAGAAGUAUCUAGAUUAUAGAAGAUACAGAACUGAUAGAGUGAGAAGGCUAAAGAUUUUUCAAAAAUAGAGGUAUAAUAUCAACCUGCAUUACUAUUGCCUAGAAUAUUUUUGUUUGACCCUAAUAAGACUAAUGAAUGGGUGUGCAUGUACCUUUGAAUUUAAAACAAAUUAAAAUUAAGGAAUGUUCUAUAAUGAAAUGUAUAACCUUUACUUUUUUUUGACAGGCAGAGUUAGAGAAAGAGAGAGAGAAAGGUCUUCCUUCCGUUGGUUCACCCCCAAAAUGGCCAGGUGCUUCCUCCUGGUCUCCCAUGCGGGUGCAGGGCCCAAGGACUUGGGCCAUCCUCCACUGCCUUCCUGGGACAUAGCAGAGAGCUGGACUGGAAGAGGAGCAACCAGGACAGAAUCUGGCCCCCCAGCAGGGGCUAGAACCUGGGGUACCGGCGCCACAGGCGAGGAUUAGCCUAGUGAGCUGCAGUGCCAGCCUAACCUUUACUUUUGUACCUGACUUGUUUUAGAGGAGUAUAUAGCAAUAAAUUUCAUGUAUAGCAUAAGAAUUAAAUUGCACAUUUAGUAGAAUGGAGCAAUCUUACUCUAAACAUGUGGUUGGUGUAUACUAAUUAUGUUUGGCUAUUUUUGAUAUCAUGAUUCUAAAAAAUUCAUAAAACAAGCAGUGUUUUAUGAGUUUUGAGGGUUGGCAUUGUUGCUUAGAGGGUUAAGCUGCCACCUGCAAUGCAGGUAUACCAUACAAGCACCUGAUUGAAUUCUGUCUGCUCUACUUCCAAUCCAGUUCCCUGCUAAUGACCUUGGAAACCAGCGGAAGAUAGCCCAAGUACUUGGGCCCCUGCAUCCAUGUGGGAGACCCGGAUGAGGCUCCUGUUUCCUGGCUUCAUCAUGGCCCAGCCCCAACUGUUGAGGCCAUUUGGGAAACAAACCAGUGGAUAGAAGAUCUCUCUUUCUUUUUCUCCCCUCUCUGUUUCUCUGCCUUUCAAAUAAAUAAAUAAAUCUUUAAAAAAAAAUGUGAGCGUUGA